GCAGGAGCCAGGGGUCCGGCAGUGAACGGGUGUGGGAAACCACACACUGAAGCUGGACCUCAAUCAGUUCCUCAUCCUACAGUGACCUCAGCCUUCUAGACAAAGCAUCACGCUGAUAUUAACCUGGGAAAAGCUUCAUAACAUAAACAAUAGAAGUUUCUCAUGGGCCCAAGAACAUGUUUACCUCCUGGGCUGCACAACAUAGAAGUUUCUCACGGGCCCAGGAGCAUGUUUACCUUUGCUGUGUGCACAAGAAAGUGUCCUGAAGUGACUUGUACUGCUCUUUGUUUUGAAACAUUAUAAAAACUCUGUAGUCUUUCAAUAAAUCGCCUUUUGCCUCCUGAGCAACUGGUCUCCCUGUGUCUUCAGUCUCUCGCCUGACUCCUUCCCCGCGCUGGCCGCGGCACCUGGCACUUGGCGCCUGAACGUGGGGCUUGGCGCCCGAACGUGGGGCUUGGCGCCCGAACUUGGGGCUUGGAAUAUAAGCAUUCGGAGCGUUUUUCCAGUGGAAGGAGAAUCGGGAGUUCCGAGAAGACCACUGCUACUAGGACCCGGACGCUGAUACACCCAGGUGGAUCCCAGAACGCUGUGUACGACAUGCCCAAGAGCAAGAUAGAAAAAUUGCGCAGGACGAUGCUUCGACUAACCAUGACACCGAGGAUGAGAACAACGACCAGAAGACCUCCUGCGACAAGAGAUGAAACUCUUCUGUUUUUGGCUCAACUGUUAAGCAUUAUUUGGGUUUUGCAUACAUUUUGUAUGCCUGUGUGGGCAGAUAAUUAUUGGGCAUUUGUACCUAAUCCUCCUUUGUUGCACCCUAUGUCAUGGGGUGACAACAAUGAUGUUACUGUUUAUGUAAAUAAUACUCGUGUCUUAAGUUUUCCUUCUUCCACUCAUAUACAACCUAUCUCUAUUGUAUAUAAUUAUACUGGAAUGUCUGCUUCAUUACCCCUAUGUUUUUCUAAAACAAAUAAGAAGUCUACAUUAAUAGAAAGAUACUCUGAUUGGGAUGGAAACUUUACGAAUGGAAUGCACUGGGGAGUAGAUAUGAUGUAUGUAUUUUGCAACAGCAGUGAAACUAGAGUGGGAAAACGUAAUCCCCCUGAGCAUAUUCCAGAAUGUAGACAAAAAUACCCAAGCAAAAGUGUAUAUGGACUCUCACGGCAUUUGUGCCAUCAUAAUUAUACUAUAUGUUACAAAGAUCUGUGUGAUUGGAGCUCUAGCAUGUUAUCACCAUGAUAACAGUUUUUCCAUAUUUUGUGAGAACUGUUGUUGGGCAAA